rnacentral:rRNA from 1 species
AGUGAACGCUGGCGGUAGGCCUAACACAUGCAAGUCGAGCGGCAGCAGAGUGAGAGCUUGCGGUUACGGGUGGGGAGUGGCGGGCGAGGGCGAGGUAUCUGGGAAUUUGUGUGGGAGAGCGGGCGGAAAUGGGGACUAAUACGGUAAACGCCCUGAGGGAGAAAGGGUGGGAGCAGCGGAUCUUAGGAUAUUAGACGAGCCAAUGUCGGAUUAGCUAGUUGGUGGGGUAAAGGCGUACCAAGGCGACGAUCCGUAGCUGGUCUGAGAGGAUGAUCAGUCACACUGGAACUGAGACACGGUCCAGACUCCUACGGGAGGCAGCAGUGGGGAAUAUUGGACAAUGGGCGCAAGCCUGAUCCAGCCAUGCCGCGUGUGUGAAGAAGGUCUUCGGGUUGUAAAGCCCUUUUAUUUGGAAAGAAAAGCAGUAAGUUAAUACCUCGCUGUUCUGACGGUACCCAAAGAAUAAGCACCGGCUAACUUCGUG